AACGAACGCUGGCGGCAUGCCUAACACAUGCAAGUCGAACGAGACCUUCGGGUCUAGUGGCGCACGGGUGCGUAACGCGUGGGAACCUGCCCUUAGGUUCGGAAUAACUCCCCGAAAGGGGUGCUAAUACCGGAUAAUGUCUUCGGACCAAAGAUUUAUGGCCUUUGGAUGGGCCCGCGUUGGAUUAGCUAGUUGGUAGGGUAAAAGCCUACCAAGGCGACGAUCCAUAGCUGGUCUGAGAGGAUGAUCAGCCACACUGGGACUGAGACACGGCCCAGACUCCUACGGGAGGCAGCAGUGGGGAAUAUUGGACAAUGGGCGAAAGCCUGAUCAAGCAAUGCCGCGUGAGUGAUGAAGGCCUUAGGGUUGUAAAGCUCUUUUACCCGGGAUGAUAAUGACAGUACCGGGAGAAUAAGCACCGGCUAACUCCGUG
rnacentral:rRNA from 1 species